AAUCACAAAUUGUGUGUGUGCGGCACACCACAAGGACAAUCUGGAGCAAUGUGACGGAAUGCUUACGAUAUGUAAAUCAAAGACAUCUGUUAAUAAUGAAAUCAUCGAGGGUGAGAUAAAGCAAGACU
ensembl:ncRNA C25F6.28 ncRNA